CAGCAGGGCGAGGGCGAGCAGGCAGUGCCAGCACAGCUGUCCCAGCGCCAUGUACUCAGGCGGCGGCGGCCGAGGCGUCAGCAGAUCUGCAGAGAACUCGAUUAUGAUCCAGAAAUGCCAGUUUUCUACGAGUAAUCUGAUCAGCGAUUGCCUGUGGUCACGUUAAAAGGCAUCAGAGUGUCUCACACUGGGCGCAGACAGAUCUCUCAGGAUGCUCCGUCAGUGUGUAUCGAAUAAUUGGAUUGAAUGAUCCUUGAACAUAGAGCAAAUCGAAAGAUGGGAUCAUGCGGGAAUGGGUUUGUGAGACAGAAGAUUAUCUCCGAUUAUUGUGAAUUGUAG